rnacentral:rRNA from 1 species
CAAAGAGGGGGACCUUCGGGCCUCUUGCCAUCGGAUGUGCCCAGAUGGGAUUAGCUAGUAGGUGGGGUAACGGCUCACCUAGGCGACGAUCCCUAGCUGGUCUGAGAGGAUGACCAGCCACACUGGAACUGAGACACGGUCCAGACUCCUACGGGAGGCAGCAGUGGGGAAUAUUGCACAAUGGGCGCAAGCCUGAUGCAGCCAUGCCGCGUGUAUGAAGAAGGCCUUCGGGUUGUAAAGUACUUUCAGCGGGGAGGAAGGGAGUAAAGUUAAUACCUUUGCUCAUUGACGUUACCCGCAGAAGAAGCACCGGCUAACUCCGUGCCAGCAGCCGCGGUAAUACGGAGGGUGCAAGCGUUAAUCGGAAUUACUGGGCGUAAAGCGCACGCAGGCGGUUUGUUAAGUCAGAUGUGAAAUCCCCGGGCUCAACCUGGGAACUGCA